rnacentral:rRNA from 1 species
AUAGCGUAUAUUAAAGUUGUUGCAGUUAAAAAGCUCGUAGUUGAAUUUUGGAUUCUUCCAAUUGGUCCAUCUUUUAGCUGAGUACUGGUUGUGUGGGGUCUAUCCGCCUGGUGAUACGUAAUGUCCUUUAUUGGAUGUUGCGGGUAGUCAGGACCUUUACCUUGAAAAAAUUAGAGUGUUUAAAGCAGGCUUAUGCCGGAAUACAUUAGCAUGGAAUAAUAGAAUAGGACGAAGUUGUUUUAUUUUGUUGGUUUCUAGGACAACCGUAAUGAUUAAUAGGGAUAGUUGGGGGCAUUAGUAUUCAAUUGUCAGAGGUGAAAUUCUUGGAUUUAUUGAAGACUAACUACUG